UGAGGAAUCUUGCGCAAUGGAGGAAACUCUGACGCAGCCACGCCGCGUGCCGGAUGAAGGCCCUAUGGGUUGUAAACGGCUUUUAAGCAGGAAGAACGAGGGAGUUUAGAUUCCCUGUGACGGUACUGCUUGAAUAAGCACCGGCUAACUCCGUGCCAGCAGCCGCGGUAAUACGGAGGGUGCAAGCGUUGUCCGGAAUCAUUGGGUGUAAAGGGUGCGUAGGCGGGCGUUUAAGUCCGGGGUGAAAUCUUGCCGCUUAACGGUAAAAUGGCCCCUGAUACUGAACGUCUUGAGUGUAGAAGAGGCAGGUGGAAUUCGUAGUGUAGCGGUGAAAUGCAUAGAUAUUACGAAGAACAUCAGUGGCGAAGGCGGCCUGCUGGUCUACAACUGACGCUGAGGCACGAAAGCGUGGGGAGCGAACAGGAUUAGAUACCCCCGUAGUCC
rnacentral:rRNA from 1 species